ensembl:lincRNA 4930453H23Rik RIKEN cDNA 4930453H23 gene
AUGGAUGAAGAGCAAUACCAAAAGAGUUCAAAAUCACCUCAAAAGAUGCUAAAGACAGUUGAAUUCAAGAAAAAGAAACACGUUAGGUUUCUGUUACCCCACAAAGCUGACAAGGAAAAGAAACCCUCUUCCCCAGGAGAUACAGAUGAGUCAAAGUUCAGAUGUGAAUGCCACCACUGCCAGAUGUGUGGGGGGAACACAUCUGGGAUCUCUGAGGGAACUGGGACAGAAGCAGUCUCUCCAUCAUCCUCCUGGUAA